GUACACGCUGUGACUAGCAUAUCAAUAAGCGGAGGAAAAGAAACUAACAAGGAUUCCCCUAGUAACGGCGAGUGAAGCGGGAAGAGCUCAAAUUUGAAAUCUUAAAGGGUUUCCCUUUACGAAUUGUAGUUUAAAGAAGUGUUUUCUGUUGAGGUUUUGGUAAAAGUUCUUUGGAAUAGGACAUCAUAGAGGGUGAGAAUCCCGUAUUUGACCUUUACUUUCAACUUUGUGAUACACUUUCAAAGAGUCGGAUUGUUUGGGAAUGCAGUCCAAAAUGGGUGGUAAAUUUCAUCUAAAGCUAAAUAUCGGCGAGAGACCGAUAGCGAACAAGUACCGUGAGGGAAAGAUGAAAAGAACUUUGAAAAGAGAGUUAAACAGUACGUGAAAUUGUCAAAAGGGAAGCGUUUGACACCAGUGUUGUUUUUCUGAAAAUCAAUUAAAGAACUGUUUAUGCUAAGUUGUUUAGACUUUAUCAGCUAACUGUUUAGUUUUGAGCUUUUCUUUAAUGCACCUUUCAGUUAACAAGUCAACAUCAAUUUCUUUUGCUGUAAAAAAGCUUGAGGAAGGUGGCUUGAGAUUCGUCUUAAGUGUUUAUAGCCUCUUGCCUAUGCAGUCGGAGAGAUUGAGGUCUGCAGCGUAGAUCCUUCGGGGCUAAAUGCAUUUGUGCUAAGUUAUAGGCAUUUUAUAGACAACUUGUUGACUAUGAUUUGUCUUGUAGCUUACUCGCUUAUGUUAUUUUACCUACGCUUAGGAUGUUGAAGAUGUAGCACAUCAU
rnacentral:rRNA from 1 species